AAGUUAUUAAACCUAAAGAGAAGAGAACUCACCAAGGUUGGAAUCUCAAAAGAAAUCAUUACCUAAUUGCUCAUCACCAAUGUUGAGAAAAACCUAGACAUAGUUUAUGAAGUCCAUGAAGUUAUUAAACCUAGACCUCUAACUCUUGGUCAAGAAUUCAAGUCAAACUAGUUGUUUCCCAAAAUGAAUUGAAAGAGUUAGAGGGUCUAGGUUUAAUAACUUCAUAGGUUUUCAUGGUUUCCUUAAGUUUCUUCUUCUCUUUCUUUUCUUCUUCUUCUUUCUUCUUCUUCUAAUACUACCUUCUUCAGCAAGUGCGUUCGCCAAUAGUUCUUC
rnacentral:lncRNA from 1 species